AGACCAUGAUGAGGACAUCUUCGUUGCAAUUCCCGAUAACGCUCCCAAACUUCAUACAAUGCCUCUCCUUCCUAUUGAGAGAAAUUAGUUAUAUUCAUUCUCAAUUU